rnacentral:rRNA from 1 species
UAGGGAAUCUUCGGCAAUGGGGGGAACCCUGACCGAGCAACGCCGCGUGAGUGAAGAAGGUUUUCGGAUCGUAAAGCUCUGUUGUUAAGGAAGAACGAGUGUGAGAAUGGAAAGUUCAUACUGUGACGGUACUUAACCAGAAAGGGACGGCUAACUACGUGCCAGCAGCCGCGGUAAUACGUAGGUCCCGAGCGUUGUCCGGAUUUAUUGGGCGUAAAGCGAGCGCAGGCGGUUAGAUAAGUCUGAAGUUAAAGGCAGUGGCUCAACCAUUGUAGGCUUUGGAAACUGUUUAACUUGAGAGCAGAAGGGGAGAGUGGAAUUCCAUGUGUAGCGGUGAAAUGCGUAGAUAUAUGGAGGAACACCGGUGGCGAAAGCGGCUCUCUGGUCUGUAACUGACGCUGAGGCUCGAAAGCGUGGGGAGCGAACAGG